AACGAACGCUGGCGGCAGGCCUAACACAUGCAAGUCGAGCGAGGACUUCGGUUCUAGCGGCGGACGGGUGAGUAACGCGUGGGAAUGUGCCCUUCUCUACGGAAUAGCCCUGGGAAACUGGGAGUAAUACCGGAUACGCCCUAUUGGGGAAAGAUUUAUCGGAGAAGGAUCAGCCCGCGUUGGAUUAGGUAGUUGGUGGGGUAAUGGCCUACCAAGCCGACGAUCCAUAGCUGGUUUGAGAGGAUGAUCAGCCACACUGAGACUGAGACACGGCCCAGACUCCUACGGGAGGCAGCAGUGGGGAAUCUUAGACAAUGGGGGCAACCCUGAUCUAGCCAUGCCGCGUGAGUGAUGAAGGCCUUAGGGUUGUAAAGCUCUUUCAGCUGGGAAGAUAAUGACGGUACCAGCAGAAGAAGCCCCGGCUAACUCCGUG
rnacentral:rRNA from 1 species